AUCUUUUAUAAGCAUGCCUUAAAAAAAACAUUACUAUUCUAGAUUCCCUAUGCAUGUGUAUAGUGGAAGGACUUUUAUUAUGAAUGUGUGCCGCUAGUUGAUGUGAGUUCCGCUUUUCCGGUUUCACUUUCACUUUCACUAGCCGCUUGCUCCGCCAUUUCAUUAGGUGUUAAUGUGCGUGAUUGAAUAAACCUAGCUGAAUGACAUCAUACCGGACAGCGCCCUCCAUCUGCCGGACUUUCAGCUGUUUAGAGCAGAUCGCGACACAGUAUCAACGGGGAAAUCGUGCGGCGGCAGGACAUGCUUUUACAUCAAUGAACGCUGGUGUACAGAUGUAACUGUGUUAAAGAAGAUGUGCUGUCCUGAUCUAGAAAUGCUGUUUGUCAACUGCAAGCCGUUCUAUUCGCUGCAGGAGUUUCAUUUCUCGUUCAUUCUGGUCAGUGUUUACAUUCCUCCGCAAGCGCAUGUGAGCUCAGCUUUACAGAAACUCGCUGAUCAGAUCACAGAGACAGAACAACAACACCCAGACUCUGUUUUAAUCAUUCUCUGGGACUUUAAUAAAGCCAAUCUCUCCCGCAAACUGCCAAAAUACAGACAGCAUGUUACAUGUCCCACAAGAGUCAGUAAUAUAUUGGAUCACUGUUACACCACAAUAAAGGAUGCAUAUCACUCUG